rnacentral:lncRNA from 1 species
UGUUGUUCUCAGUGUGACUGGCACGAACCAGCAAAUGUUUACUCGAUUGAACAAAGGCGUAGUCAUGAUGAUGAUCUUCCUACCAUUAAGGGUUCUGAUGCUAGUACUCAACAGUAUGAAAGAAAAACUUAUAUUACCGAUGCUAGUCCCGAAUCUCAGAAUCUGUUUUUAAGCAAAAGUAAAGAGGAGGGAGUUAUCUUCUUAUGCAUACAAGUAAGCUUUUAACCUUGAUUCUAUUUAUUCACUUUUACCAUUUACUACUUUCGCAAAUUCCUGUUUUUUGUUGGGGAUAUGAAGGGGAAUAUAAGGGUAAAGUAGAUGAAAUGGAUGUAUUUGAAAGUUGAUUUGGAUUCGAUUUAUUACUUUGAAUCCCCGUUUAUUAUUAUACGUUUAUGUCGUUUUAAAGAAAACCAUGCGAUGUACUAUAUUAAUUUUGUAAAAUAUAUAUUAUAGAUAAAAAAAUUGUUGGGAAAAUGGGAAAGCAAGUUGAAAAUAAUUAAAUUCAA